GGGCAGCGGGGCCGGGCCGGCGCCUCUGCCAACCCCGCCGGGCGCUCGGGACGCGGCGGGAAGAGAAAUUUUCCGCUGCGGACGAAGCUUUCGCGUCCCUGUGAGAGAAAGGAGCGGCCGCGGCUCCCGAGAGCCCGGGCCGGGAUGUGAGGGAGGCGGUGGCGCGGCCGUGACGCGGCGCGGGGCGGAGCGGGCGCGGGUCCGUCCGGCCAUGCCGAAGCGCUCCUGCCCCUUCGGGGACGCGGCCCCGCUCCAGCUGAAGACCCGCGUGGGGCUGCGGGAGCUGAGCCGCGGCGUGCGGGGCGAGGAGUACCGGCGGGAGGUGUUCGAGAGGACCCGGCGGCUGCUCUUCAGGGGUGCCCAGGCCUACAUGGAGGGCGCGGCGGCCGCAGCCCGUGCGGCGGAGCCGGGGCCGGCCGGGGAGGCGCAGGGCGAGGGGCCCCGCUGGAGCGGGCAGCUCCUCAUCGGCCACGACGGCAAACUGCGGCGGCGGCCCGCGGACAGGGUUCCGCCGGUGGGAGCGUCCAGAGCCUGCUCGUCGUGUGUGAGAACGGCCGAUGUGAAGGAGGCGUGUGCGCACUGUGACCGCUUCGUCUGCCAGAGCUGCAGCAGGCUCUGCAGCUGCUGUAACACGGUUACCUGCUCUUUGUGCUCCGCUGUUGAUUGUGAUAUGCCUGUCUGGAAGGGACCACUCUGUGCUCAUUCCUGGUGAUACGGGAUUCAGAAUAUUCUCUUCGCUUGUUGGUCAUGUUAGGACACACUUUUGUGGGAUCAGAAUAGAAAUCAGUUGCUCCUUCUGUGCUUUCAGCCAUUUCUGUUUGAAGAGGUGGAAAGUCCAUGGCAGUGCAAUUUGAAAGCCUGACUCCUCCCCCGUGGGGACAUCUUUAUUUGACAUUCUGUUGGAGAUAUUCUGGGUAUUUUCCUGUCAGAAUCCUGCAGCUACCCAAGAAGACUGGUAAAUGCUUUAGCAAAGGGUGGGGGGCUGUUGCUGGAGAGCAGCUCUUCUUCAUAGCUGCAGUGUCAUGGCUUUGGGUGUAUCAGCCACAGUGAGGUGCAGGAUGACAUUCUCUCCAGCCUGUGUAGCACUUUGUAUAACUAUGCAGGCACACUUCGAAAGCAUUUGUGCCCUUUAGGGUUUCCUGAGGGGUGUCACUUCAUUCCCAACCUUCUGUGCCAGCUUAGACUGACCAUCUGUGCCAGCCUGGACGUGCUGAUGGAUCUGGUUAGUUUUCCUGUUCUACAUGCCAGUGAAAAUGGGACACUUUACUGGUUCUUACUCCAGUCUUCAUUUUGAGCAAUUCUGAAAUGUGUCUUAUCUUCGUUCCCCUAACAAACAAAAAAGUCUCAAGUCAGGUGACUUGGUAGUGCAGGAUUAGUUGGAAUGUGCAGGAAUUCCAUAGCAUUAUCUAUCUUUUCAAAGCUCUCAUAGAUGAAGUCAGGGUGGUGGCAGAUCUCUGGUGCUGUUCCCAGCUGGUAUCACAGGGCAGCUCCUGUGGCAAUCAUUUUAAACCAAAAAGCUGAGUUUUAUGGAUGGGAAGAACCUGUGGUUUACUGCAUUUAGAUGUUAGUUUUAGGAAAGAGUUUUAAGACUUGUCUUUGUUUCAUUUGAAGCUUUAAGCAGUGAACUAAAGUGUUUUUCAGUCAAGUAUAUUUUUCGAAAUAAAACCUUUAAGUAUGUGUCUGCUUUUUCUUACUCUCUCCUGAGGGUGAGAGAUUGAAAAUAAUGUUUUGCUUCUAGGCUCUGGGAGAGAUGAGACAUGUUGUUACAAAUGAUUUGUGUUUCAAACUAGUGAUAGAAAUGUUUUUUUGGCUCAUUUACUCACUGCUGUAUUUCAUAGAAAGCUGUCCUCUGUAAACAAUAACAUAAAUUUCAUGGCUUAAUGUUCUUAUUUGUUAUCCUCUAGCUGCUUGAAAGACAGUUGUGCAUUAGGAUAGAUACCCAAUGCAGUGUGAAGAGCUGGGAGAAGAAAAGCAGGAGGGCUGGAAGAAGGUUAGAGGCUGGGAGGGGAAGGGCAGGAGGAGCACUGAGCAGCAUGGCCAGCUCUUGCAUAGGGGAGGUCUUUGAUACUUGUGAGGAAUGGGGUUCAGUGGUUACCAACUCUGCUUAUGUGGCUUCAGAAGGUGAGAAAACUGCCUGUGCCUACCCAAAGACUCAAAUAUUAUUCAGGAAAGUUCUUUUUCUAGUCCUGCAGUUCUCAGAUAAACAAUGGGAGGUGAGACUGGAGACUGUAAAUCUUUAUAAUGCCUACAGAAAAAAAAUAAAAAACCUGUGUGAUGGGAAGAAUCUUUGGGUGAAAAGUAUAAAGAUUUUUCUCUUUGCCUAAUUAACUCCUCCUCACAAGGACUUGUCUGUUGCCACUGAUCAUUGAGCUGUAAUAGAGUUACAAUACAACACAAAGGGUACCCCUAGGACUGUAAAUGAGAGCCAGAGAAAUUGUCUGGUUUAUUAGCUGAGCAGGAAAUUGGGUUUAAUCGUGUGCUUUUUUGUUGCAAUUGUAUGUUCUUCCCCUCCCACUCAGUGCAAAGUGUCAAAAAUCAAAGUUUGCCUGCUGUUCCAAGGGAAGGAGAUCCCCUGAGGAGCCAGCAUAUUGAUAGAUAAAAAUAUCCUGCAGUAAUGAUUUUACAGAUGGAUUAGAAACUUCUGAGGCCUGUGUGACAUAUGUCUCAAAAAGCAGAUCUUUAUGUCCAAAAGGAUCUGAUCUGAUCAGGAUAAAACAAUUUCUCUUAAGACUAAUAACUGAGUCAAUUCUAGAAAUGUGUGGUUUCAUAGACACCAGGUAUUUAAGGACAGUCUAAGGUGGUAAAUUACUGCAGUAGUCUCCAGACUGUAUUAGAACAAACCCACAACCUUAUAAAAAAGCUCACUGAAAAGAACAAAAACACUUCAGCUGUCUCCUUCAAUAGCAUUUGUCCUGUGCACAAAGGAACUCCCAAAUAUUUUGCAGUUCAGUCCAGAAGUCUGCUUUCUUCCAAGAGAAAAGUGAGCCAUUCUACAGGUGAUCCAGACAACGUGAAAAUUAAAAAUAAAUAAAUGUUAGCUCUGCAUUCUGUGAUGGAUGAGUCUUUUGUUUAAUACAGCCAGCACCUCAGCCUCUUCCCCUCCUUUUUGUUUUAGUGUCCUACACAUUUGGGCCCUGACUUGUAGCCAGUUCAGGUGUUUUUUAUAUUCCUUUCUGAACAGGUGAUAAUUAGAUACAGCUGUGUUUUACCUCAGGACAGGGCAUAAUGCCCAAAUAAUGCAGGUGGGAGUGAGAGACAAUGUCCUUUUUUUUUUCUUACAAGUAUGGGCAAGACAUUUAUGCUUUGCUUCUGUGCUGAGUUGGCUGCCAUCAGCUGUGGCACUCGGAAGUGGCAGCAAAAUGCAAAGGGCUUAAAUCUUCUGAAUCUUACUUUGAAGAGGUGCAGCCAAGAAGUAGAAAUGGAAACAGUUAUCUUUGUCCCCAGGUUUGUUGGGCCUGUUUUCUUUUGAAAACACUCAUCUGGCCUCUGGCUGGAUUGGUGAGACAACAGCAAAUGCCAGCACCAUGCAAGGAAUAAAUACUUCUCUCUUUCACCAUGCUCCCUACCAGUCAUUGCGUGAUGGCUUUGGCUUUUGACAGGAUCAAACUGGAUUAAAAAAAUGAAUCCCAGCAAAACUUACCUGUCAUUAAGCUCCCAGGAAUGGAGUAUUUGUAGAAACUUGCAUGUACCGCUGCUCUGUAGCUUUUGGUUAGGUGUGAUACUGUUUCAUCAUGGCAAAUUCUGCAACUAAAAGCUCUUUGUGCUGCCUUUGCCGCCCAUCUGGAUCCAAGAGCCCUGACUGCCUGGACACAAAGCCCUGUGUUCCUGGGAAGCUCCAGCUGGGAUAGAGUGUGGCAGAAUACCUCCACAGUUUGUUCUGUGUCUGUCAAGCUUUGUCCUCUGUUCUUUGCAGAGCUUUACCAUGGAUUGUCAGACUAAGCUUAGACCCAGGAACAUGUACGGCUGUCCAGGGAGAGGGAGGAAAACCUCAACCCAACAGCAGCACUCAGAUUGUGCAGAGCAAACCUGCUGCAGCAGCACAGGGACUCCAGAGCCCAACCUGGCAGCACAACCUCAGGUGUGGCAGCUUGGAAAAGGAGAGGGAGGUAGGGGCCUCUUCCCAGAGAGCAUCCUGCUCCCUGCAGGCUUCUGAGUUAGGACAGGUAAGGCUGAGGAAGAUCACCUCUACCUGCUCUUUCCUCCACCCUCUUCAGGGUUUUUCACUGCUGGGAUGGGGAAGGUAGCAAAGAUUUAAACAUUGUUUUUAGUGAGGUAAAUUGGUUAACCUAUUUAAAGCAGUCAAGAGGUCUCAGAAAAUGUUAAUGAGUCUUUAAGAAAGGAGUAGGAGCUGUGUAAUUUAAAGGCAAAUACUUGUGGGUAGAAAAUUGGAAUAAAAAUCUUCCAAACUACUUUUCAUUUUACAUUAUUAAAAUUGCAAUAGGGUGAAAGCGAUCACACAGUAUUGUAUAUUUUAAUGGCUAAUAGACAUGCACACACAUAUAUAACUUUUUUGUAUAGAUAUUUUAUAUUGAUAGGUGUUAAAAUACCAUUGCUUUUACGGUUGAUUGCCUU